GUUCAGUCACACGGGAACUGAGACACGGUCCGGACUCCUACGGGAGGCAGCAGUGGGGAAUAUUGGACAAUGGGGGCAACCCUGAUCCAGCCAUGCCGCGUGUGUGAAGAAGCCCUUUUGGUUGUAAAGCACUUUAAGCAGGGAGGAGAGGCUAAUGGUUAAUACCCAUUAGAUUAGACGUUACCUGCAGAAUAAGCACCGGCUAACUCUGUGCCAGCAGCCGCGGUAAUACAGAGGGUGCGAGCGUUAAUCGGAAUUACUGGGCGUAAAGCGAGUGUAGGUGGCUCAUUAAGUCACAUGUGAAAUCCCCGGGCUUAACCUGGGAACUGCAUGUGAUACUGGUGGUGCUAGAAUAUGUGAGAGGGAAGUAGAAUUCCAGGUGUAGCGGUGAGAUGCGUAGAGAUCUGGAGGAAUACCGAUGGCGAAGGCAGCUUCCAGGCAUAAUAUUGACACUGAGAUUCGAAAGCGUGGGUAGCAAACAGGAUUAGAUACCCUGGUAGUCCACGCCGUAAACGAUGUCUACUAGCCGUUGGGGUCCUUGAGACUUUAGUGGCGCAGUUAACGCGAUAA
rnacentral:rRNA from 1 species